UUCCCCAAAUGAAAAAACAGAAGAUGAGCUCAAAUCAAGCUGAUGCUUAAAAAAGGUUGAAGGAGAAGACCAGGUAGCCGCCCUGCAAAUAUCCUCUAUGGGGACUGAGGAUCUUUCUGCCCAGGAGGUAGAAUGUGCUUUAAGACCCACCGGAGGCGAUAAACCAGAUGAAGAAUAGGCCAAAGAAAUGCAGAAACAAUCCAUAUAGCAAUGGAACCUUUGGUGGCCGCCUUUCUCUUAUUUACUCCUUGGAAGAGGACAAAUAGUGAAGAAGAUUUUCGACAACUUUCAGUGCGAGACUGAUAAAUAAUCAAAGCUCUUCUUACAUCCAAGCAAUGAAGCAACUUUUCUUCUUCCGACCUCGGGUUCUUAAAAAAGUCUCCCCUAGUUACGGCCACUGCUCUUCUCCGGAACCCCCGUGGCGGCGCGCGCAUUCAGUCCAGCGCGCGGCCCGGCCGGGAGAAGACUUCAAUCAAGAUGAAGCCCACCCCCAGCCAGAAUCCAGAAAGUGAACGGCACGCUGGAAGCAGACCUCAUCAGACCUACUGCUGUCAGUUCUUUUAGAUGGAGGAUCCCCCUUUUUGGACAUCCCCCUAAAGACCGUGAAGGGAGAUCUCCCCAAUAAUGAAGUGACGAACAUCGACC